rnacentral:rRNA from 1 species
CUCAGGAUGAACGCUAGCUACAGGCUUAACACAUGCAAGUCGAGGGGCAGCAUCAUCAAAGCUUGCUUUGAUGGAUGGCGACCGGCGCACGGGUGAGUAACACGUAUCCAACCUGCCGACAACACUGGGAUAGCCUUUCGAAAGAAAGAUUAAUACCGGAUGGCAUAAUUUUCCCGCAUGGGAUAAUUAUUAAAGAAUUUCGGUUGUCGAUGGGGAUGCGUUCCAUUAGGCAGUUGGCGGGGUAACGGCCCACCAAACCAACGAUGGAUAGGGGUUCUGAGAGGAAGGUCCCCCACAUUGGAACUGAGACACGGUCCAAACUCCUACGGGAGGCAGCAGUGAGGAAUAUUGGUCAAUGGACGAGAGUCUGAACCAGCCAAGUAGCGUGAAGGAUGACUGCCCUAUGGGUUGUAAACUUCUUUUAUACGGGAAUAAAGUUAGCCACGUGUGGCUUUUUGUAUGUACCGUAUGAAUAAGGAUCGGCUAACUCCGUGCCAGCAGCCGCGGUAAUACGGAGGAUCCGAGCGUUAUCCGGAUUUAUUGGGUUUAAAGGGAGCGUAGGCGGGUUGUUAAGUCAGUUGUGAAAGUUUGCGGCUCAACCGUAAAAUUGCAGUUGAUACUGGCGACCUUGAGUGCAACAGAGGUAGGCGGAAUUCGUGGUGUAGCGGUGAAAUGCUUAGAUAUCACGAAGAACUCCGAUUGCGAAGGCAGCUUACUGGAUUGUAACUGACGCUGAUGCUCGAAAGUGUGGGUAUCAAACAGGAUUAGAUACCCUGGUAGUCCACACAGUAAACGAUGAAUACUCGCUGUUGGCGAUAUACGGUCAGCGGCCAAGCGAAAGCAUUAAGUAUUCCACCUGGGGAGUACGCCGGCAACGGUGAAACUCAAAGGAAUUGACGGGGGCCCGCACAAGCGGAGGAACAUGUGGUUUAAUUCGAUGAUACGCGAGGAACCUUACCCGGGCUUAAAUUGCAACUGACGGAACCGGAAACGGUUCUUUCUUCGGACAGUUGUGAAGGUGCUGCAUGGUUGUCGUCAGCUCGUGCCGUGAGGUGUCGGCUUAAGUGCCAUAACGAGCGCAACCCUUACGGGUAGUUACCAUCAGGUUAUGCUGGGGACUCUACCCGGACUGCCGUCGUAAGAUGUGAGGAAGGUGGGGAUGACGUCAAAUCAGCACGGCCCUUACGUCCGGGGCUACACACGUGUUACAAUGGGGGGUACAGAAGGUAGCUACACGGCGACGUGGUGCUAAUCCCAAAAGCCUCUCUCAGUUCGGAUUGGAGUCUGCAACCCGACUCCAUGAAGCUGGAUUCGCUAGUAAUCGCGCAUCAGCCAUGGCGCGGUGAAUACGUUCCCGGGCCUUGUACACACCGCCCGUCAAGCCAUGAAAGCCGGGGGUACCUGAAGUACGUAACCGCAAGGAGCGUCCUAGGGUAAAACUGG